CCUACGGGUGGCAGCAGUGAGGAAUAUUCGUCAAUGGGGGAAACCCUGAACGAGCAACGCCGCGUGGAGGAUGAAGGCCUUCGGGUCGUAAACUUCUUUUAGGGGAGACGAGAAAGGACGGUAUCCCCGGAAUCAGUCACGGCUAACUACGUGCCAGCAGCCGCGGUAAUACGUAGGUGACGAGCGUUAUCCGGAUUUACUGGGCGUAAAGCGCUUGUAGGUGGUGCCGUAAGUUGGGCGUGAAAUCUCCGGGCUUAACCCGGAGAGGCCGUCCAAUACUGCGGUGCUGGAGGACGUCAGAGGAAGGUGGAAUUCCUGGUGUAGUAGUGAAAUGCGUAGAUAUCAGGAGGAACACCCGUGGCGAAGGCGACCUUCUGGGACGUUACUGACACUGAGAAGCGAAAGCCGGGGGAGCAAACAGGAUUAGAUACCCUUGUAGUC
rnacentral:rRNA from 1 species